UGUGAUCACCAAAGUUAAGCAAUAUUGAGCCUGGUCAGUACCUAAAUGGGUGACCGCUUGGGAAUACCAGGUGCUGUAAG